GAAGCUCUCAGGUAUAAUUUUUGUACUGCACUAUUAUCUAUACUACUAACCACUAACAAAAAUGGACCCUUGGUAAUACUAAACAUAUUAUCAGUGGGAGACCGUUACUAAUACUAACAUUUUUCUUAUUUUAUUCGGUGGUGGUUUUACCCCAUAUUUAUUUUAUUUACUGUAUGGUGUAGGUUUAUUACCCAUACAUGCACCUUUACUUUAUCGCAAAUUUACUUUACCGCACAUUUAUUUUAUUUACUGUAUGGUGUAGGUUUAUUACCCAUACAACAAUAUUUAUUUAAAAGGGUGGUGCGGGUUUAUCGUCCACGCCUUUGCUUUUAUUUAAAUGUAUGGAGCAGAAUUAGUGCCCAUACAAGCACGUUUACUUUACCGCACAUUUAUUUUAUUUACUGUAUGGUGUAGGUUUAUUACCCAUACAACAGUAUUUAUUUAAAAGGGUGGUGCGGGUUUAUCGUCCACGCCUUUGCUUUUAUUUAAAUGUAUGGAGCAGAAUUAGUGCACAUACAAGCACGUUUACUUUACCGCACAUUUAAUUUUAUUUACGGUAUGGUGCGGGAUUAACGUCCAUACAGCAAGCUAUUUAAUUUAUUUAAGGUAUGGUGCGGGAUUAACGUCCAUACAGCAAGCAAUUUAAUUUAUGAAUUUAUUUUACCGCACAUUUACAUUUAUUUAAAAGUAUGGUGUGGGUUUAUCGUCCAUACCAGUAAUUUAUUUAUCAGCAAUUUAUUUUAUGGAUUAAUUGUGCUGUAUGAUGAGUUUUUACAGUAUGCAGAUCAGGACCAGAAGUUCCUUGAUCCUCAUCAUACAAUUACAUCAGGACUUGAAGAUCCUUGAUGAUGAUGAGGGCUGGCAGUCUCUCCGGUACUGUAUUUGUAAACAUGUAAUCGGACUUAAGGGUCCUUGAUCCCUGACAUGUAAAUAAGGACCUAGAGUUCCUUAAUGAUGUAACAGUACCGUAUUGGUUCAUAGUGCCGUACACAUUGAUGAUAACUGUACUGGCAGAUGAAUAGAUACGU
rnacentral:lncRNA from 1 species